UAUUUCUUCUGCCUAAGUACAAAAAAAUAAAAUAAAAAAUAAAAAUAAAAUAAAAUUACAAAUCAAUCCAAACGGGCGGGGUCUAAAAAAAUAAAAUAGUAUUAAUAAUACAAAAUGGAUACUCCAGGAUUCUUCUGCCUAUCGCUCAGCCGCCGCUCAAUCCGACCGCCAGAAAACGCCCUCCGCCGCCGCUCAAUCCGUACGCACCCAUCCGUCCAUGGCUCUUCGUUGUGUGCUUGAGAGGGUGGGUAGAAUCGGUUACAACAAUCAUCUGAAGACAAAGAUAGAGGGUGGAAUUAUCACCCACCAAGACCCGAAAGUCUGGGUUUUGACUUGGACGAUGAACCUGAUAUCGAUCGGACGGAGAUCUUAUUCGGUGGAAUUGAACGCUUCUGUGGCCCUUUAGAUGAUCCGCUUCCUAUAGAAGCCGCCAGUAUGGCUGUGGAGCUACACAACAAGCAACAGAAUUCAGAUCUUGAGUUUGUGAGAGUGGUCAAGGCAAACAGACAAUGGGUGGCUGGUGUAAUUUGGUAUAUCACAUUUGAGGCAACUGAUAACGCUGGUGUGAAGAACACUUAUCAAGCUAGGGUUUAUUGUACAAUUGAAAAUGAAUGGGGUUUAGAGGUGUUUAGGCUCGCUCCCGGGAGUCCUUCAAAUCUGGUUGUUAAGCAAGGUGAUCAGGAUGAAGUAGGUGAAGGGGCCUUGAAGCAGCUGCUUAACUGAAGCACGAUAUGAUACUUCAGUGCAUGUUGGGUUGGAGUGAUAAUAUGUUCUAUUGAUGUUGCACUUACAUUGACUUAAAUAACAGGACAGUACAGGAAAAGUCAUUUUUGCUAAUCACUUUCUCGGGGCCGAGUCUCACUUUGAAGCGCAAGGACUAUGUAAUUGAAGGGUAAUUCAGUAUAAUGUUGAGUCGAAUAUUUUGAUACAAAUGCGAGUGAUUCCAUUUGAAUGGUUACUUUUACACACUUUUACAUUUUGAUUGGAACCUUGCUUGCACAGUUUGGAUUGGUGGGAUAAUUUUCCCCACCAUACUCUGCCCCCAAUUCCCUCCAAAUUUGCUCUAUGUGUGGAUAGACGUGGGUGGUUUGACAACAACUUCCUUCCCUUCUACUGUGGCGAAGGAAAGAUUAGAAUUUUUGAACAAGAACAAAUGUCCCUUCCGUUGGUGAAUAAUUAAUCUUCAAACAACUCGUUUGGAAUUGAGGAGGACGCUCCCAAGGUUAAAAAAAGUGUAUAACAAUUACAAAUCCGUUUCAGAGGAUGGGCGGAGUUGGUAUGAUAAAUUUUCUAACGAGGCGGAGUAGGAUUUAGCCAAACUCGUACCAACUCCGUCCCAUUGCCAUCCCUAGCGGCCACAGAGAAGGCUGCCUCUGCUAGAGAAGUAUAACAAUCUAAUCAUGACGAAGGUUUCUUGGAAGAUGAGAGAUCAUGUGGCUGAAAACAUGGUCAAAGAAUUGGAAGUUACCAAUGACGGCGGGAGGGCCAUCGUUAAGGAGUGUAAGCUUGCUGGUAAGCAUCUGUAGGAGAGAUAUCUUAAGAUCUGUAUGUCCAGAGGAGCUGCUUCUUUCAGGUAUGGAUUUGAUCAAGCUCUACUACCUGAGGGCAAGAUGGAGGUGAAUGAUCCUUUUGCAUUUGACACAAAGCUCAAGGUCACCUUCCUUUAUGAUGUUGAUCCAAAGCCCAGCAAGGAAGAGAUAUCCAUUCAGAAACUCCUGAAUGAAUCAGCUGCCGCAACAUAAACUUCUACCAUCAAUGCAUAGAUAUAUGUGUGUGUGUGUGUGAAAUGUCAAUAACGCCCGUCACUUAAAAUGAGAAAAUCGGGAGGAGUUCCUAAGCCCGAAAGUCGUCCUGACUGCGAAAAAUUCUAAAAAUGAUCUUGUCAAUUCUAAUUGGUUCAAAAUAAAUAAAAAUGCAAUUCUAAAACUCUCAGCUCGAAAAAAUGACCUAACGGCCCUCUUUGUAUAGACAGUACUUUAGUUUAAUGGGAGUAGGAUUGUGAAUCGUGUUCUACGUAAACAAAACCAUUCAAAUGUGACAGUAGAAUUGGGUCCUUUCUUUUUUAUUUGUUUUUACAUGAAUAGUUUAUACUUUGAUGGUCAAUUAUCUCAUGACUUAUCAACCGAAAUUAAACUUUUUGACGGAUAUGGUGCUCCCAUUUCUACAAUGUUUCUAUUAUAAUUCCAAAGGUUUUUACUUUCUAACAUUAUUAAAAUCGCUGCAUCUUACCAAUGGGCCAUUAGCUCAAUGGUAUAAUCUCCCCACACUCAAAGAGGAGGGGAGGGAUUUCUGCAUCUUCUAGUGCAAGCGAUUCUUGGUGCUUUUUGUUUUUCGUUUUUAUUUUUUCUUUUUAUUUUUUCUUAUUAAUAUUAGAUAGCCUAGGAUAAGGUUUUGCCAAGUAUCAACUCAAACUUAUGAAGAAUGCUAUUGCCUUUAGUGUCAAUCUUUGUUUCCCAGCUGGGGUUGAUGUUUGGGAAAAGUCGUGAUCAAUUAUGCAUAGAUAUCAAUUGGCCUUAGAGCGAGUUGUUUGGGAGAACAUACUCUAUUUUCAGGUGCAUUAUUUGCCUGCUAUGUUUUCAUUUUUCUUUGUAAUCAAAUCACACUUAUUUCGAAGAGUGAUAGGCUGAUAGAUUUUCUUAGUUUCUUCCACGCACAAACCACUAUAUAUUCAAUUUUGAAAAGAAAAAGAAAUCUACAAAUUCAGUGAACUUGUUCUCCUCUUGUCAUCUGACAGUUGCAUCAGCUAGAUUUUCUUGUUGAUUCUGUUGCUCCUCUAGCUAAUUUGUUUCAAUGGUAAAUCUCUUAAUUUUUCUUUAUGUGCUUCUGUGGGUGUGCAUGCAUCUUUUUUUGUACUUAAUUAGGACAGAAUCCCCAGAAACAUAAAAAAAACUGUAUAAAAUGCAUCAAUUUGUUAAAAGUUACAUAGGUUGUUCAUUGAAUGACUAUUGAUUAUGUCAAAAGCAUCUCCAAGAUUGAACACUAUAUUAAUAUUUUAACUUCAGUUGUUGCUGAUCGAGUUUGAGGAAUAUAGGCUGAGAUGGUUUUGAUAUAAUUUGACAUAGAUAGACUAAUGGCAUCUAGUUGAUUCUUAUUUUCAGGGCAUGUGGGAUACAUAGUUAGGGUAGCAAGGUUGUAAAUAAGAAUGUGGAAUGCCAUUUAGAGGCUUAAUGAUGGGAUUGUAGGAAAAAAAAAAAAAAAAAAAAAAAAAAAUAAUAAUAAUAAUAAUGAAUGAGAACACAAACACCUGAAUAGGUUUUUCAAAAAAAGUAGACUAGUUUUUAUUUAAUUCUUUUUUUUCUCUUUUUGGUGUGUUUCUACAGGUGAUCGGGACGAACUAGGUGAAGAGGCCUUGAAGUGGCUGCUUAACUGAAAAUAGAUCGGCAAGCGUCUACAAAUGUUGGCAGAUCAUCGUUCAGAUGCUCCGAGUAUUGCUGCAAAAGGUUUUUGGUAUUUCUAUACCUGAGUUGUUGAAGGACAUCUUUGGAUUUUUGAAUUACAGAAGUUAUAAUAUUUUCCAAUAGUUUUAGAGAGUUUGGCAUAUCUAUUGUCUAAUAGUGCAUAGAGUCUCACUAAUUCUAUAAUUACAUGGUGAACAAUUGUAGCUUUUGGUAUUUUGUUCAAAAUAGUGUAUUCUAA